rnacentral:rRNA from 1 species
GACGAACGCUGGUGGCGUGCUUAACACAUGCAAGUCGAACGGUGAAGGGGUCUGCUUUUGUGGGCCCUGGAUGAGUGGCGAACGGGUGAGUAACACGUGAGUAACCUGCCCCCUUCUUCUGGAUAACCGCAUGAAAGUGUGGCUAAUACGGGAUAUUCUGGGUCUGUCGCAUGAUGGGUCUGGGAAAGAUUGCGCCUUUGGGUGUUUUUGGUGGGGGAUGGGCUCGCGGCCUAUCAGCUUGUGGGUGGGGUGAUGGCCUACCAAGGCGGUGACGGGUAGCCGGCCUGAGAGGGUGGACGGUCACACUGGGACUGAGACACGGCCCAGACUCCUACGGGAGGCAGCAGUGGGGAAUAUUGCACAAUGGGCGCAAGCCUGAUGCAGCGACGCCGCGUGAGGGAUGGAGGCCUUCGGGUUGUAAACCUCUUUCGCCAGUGAAGCAGGCCUGCUCCUUGUGGGUGGGUUGACGGUAGCUGGAGAAGAAGCGCCGGCUAACUACGUG